GACGAACGCUGGCGGCGUGCUUAACACAUGCAAGUCGAACGGAAAGGCCCUGCUUUUGUGGGGUGCUCGAGUGGCGAACGGGUGAGUAACACGUGAGUAACCUGCCCUUGACUUUGGGAUAACUUCAGGAAACUGGGGCUAAUACCGGAUAGGAGCUCCUGCUGCAUGGUGGGGGUUGGAAAGUUUCGGCGGUUUGGGAUGGACUCGCGGCUUAUCAGCUUGUUGGUGGGGUAGUGGCUUACCAAGGCUUUGACGGGUAGCCGGCCUGAGAGGGUGACCGGCCACACUGGGACUGAGAGACGGCCCAGACUCCUACGGGAGGCAGCGGGGGGGAAUAUUGCACAAUGGGCGGAAGCCUGAUGCAGCAACGCCGCGUGCGGGAUGACGGCCUUCGGGUUGUAAACCGCUUUCGCCUGUGACGAAGCGUGAGUGACGGUAAUGGGUAAAGAAGCACCGGCUAACUACGUG
rnacentral:rRNA from 1 species